CAGAAGAACCAUGGCUCUUUGGCCCUCAUCACUUGCUGAGCCCCACUGUAUUGGCUUCGAAAUGUACUGUACAAUAUUGGCUUUCUGUCAGCAUGCUGAUGCCAUAAACUAAUAAUGUGCACAGCUAAGAAUGGAGGCAAGCUAGUCAGGUCCUCAAUCCAAGUGAGGAGAUUAAAAAAUAUGGGAACAGUACCAGCUCAUAGCCUAUGCAAUACAACUGCAAGAGCGAAACAGUAGGUAAACAAUCAAAUGGGGGUUAACUUCCAAGGUGAUGUUGUGAUGAGCAUAAAUGUUGAAACAUGGCUACAGGAAAAUUAUACUACUGUAUAUAGGUAGGAGGAGACAUAUACAGGAAGAGCUUCAUAAACAGUAGUAAGGCUUAGCAGUUUGCACAGCUUACCGGGUAUCUAGUACCUCACAGUUACAGUCCUUGCAGAAAUAGUUUGAGUAGGGGAAGAUUUGCAAGAAGCGAAUCUGAAAAAACAGCAGGUAAGAACUAAGAACUCAUAAUGUAAAAGAAGAUACUUUUGUUUCUAAGAAAUUAGUUACAGACCAGUGAGUAAAGUUCUCCAACACGGUUCUGCAAGGGUGUUCCACUAAGAGCCCACUUGUAUUCUGACUCUAAAGCAAAAACAGCCCUUGCAGUAUUACAUCGUCGAUCUUUUAUGAAAUGAGCCUGCAGAAAGAAAAAGAACAUGAAAGAAUAAUUCAUCAAAAAUGAAUAGGGUCAUCAUUGUUCAAUUUUUAAAAUGUAAAGUAGAUACUAACAGAUCGAGAUACUCAUCCAAGCAGAAACAUCACUGUAUUACGUCAUUGAUGAAGUUAACACAACAAUGUACUUCCCAAAAUGUAAAGCUUGGCAUUAAUUCUCAAAUUUCAUCAAAUGGUAUCUUAAUUAGACAAAAACAUCAAGUAAAUGGCAGUCCACUUAAAUAUAUCCAUUCAACAAAACCUAAUAUCUCCAUUAACUACUAAAACAGACUAGGGGAAAACAAAAUGCUUGAAAAAGGGAACAAAUAUGGAUAAGAUCCUUUGGACAGUUGGACUUCACACCAGGCUAUUGGUCCACAUCUCAGUAUUGAGAAAUAUUGACAUAAUAAGAAUACUCAACAACACCAUAAUCUAUGGCUGCCAGAGAAAAACACUGUAUAUCAGUACAGAGUUAUAAAACCUGUGGACUGCAGUUGCACAUAAUUUCCCUCUCAAAUUUCUUGAUUUACACUAUCCGUAUGGUGCAGCAACCAUAGAUAUACAGACUUAGAUAAGCAGAAUUACAAUAUGCUUGAAAUGUGAUGCAGUUAGCACACUACAAUGCGGUAAGCCAAUCUACCUUGCACUUUUUUUAGUCUAAUUAGUAAUCAAACUAGAAAGUUUUGAUUCUUGCAUGUGUCACCCCCAGACAUUACAAUAUAGGACAACCAAAAAGAGUAUACAAUUGUGGGUUAUUAUACAAGGUAAACAACUCUAACAAUUAUUAUGAUGAAACUGCCAGCAAUGUUCUAAAAAUGGAUCUAAAUGGCCUUAUACAAGUACCUACCUAUUGCUGCAUCAUCACCAGUUAGGGUGCAUGAUUGGGCCGAUUUGGCUGUGUGAUCGCUACUAGAUGUGCCCAAAGGAAUCCUGGUUACAAAUUUGUAGAACAUUGGCUAAUGUCUACAAUAACUCCAAGUGUAUCACCUAAAACAGUAGAAUUCGCUAAUAUUGUAGAGAUGGCAUGUUCUGCCCUGACCUAUAAUAUCAAGUUUGCGUAGAGGCACCCAUUUUGGCUUUUCUUAAAUCAGAUAGUAUUAAGUCACCUUAAUUUCUCCAGCUCAACAGAUCUCACAACCAAUCAAUUAAUCAAGAACCAUUAUUCCAGUGAACAAAUCAAAGAAAGAGUUGUUCAUCAGUUGUUAGAAAUCAUUGCUACGUAGUUCCGUUUACUAAUUUGAUCCCUUCAUGGAUAUGUUUUCCCCUGUUUGAUAACUUUAAUAUGAACUCAUAUCAGUUUCUAGUUAAACAGAAAUAGGUUUACUUCGCCCAUUAAGGAAAAAAAUAGCCUCUCCAUGCUAUGGACUACUAUAAGUGUCAUCAUUUGGCUACAUCAUACUAAAUUAAGGAAAAAUUAAACUGUGUUCUUUGGUCACUGGAAUAUAAAUUCAUAUUUCUUUCUAGUAAAAUAGAAAAUGGAAUUCCAUACCUAGUUCAGGAAAAGAAAAUAUCCACUUAAUGGUAUAGAUUACCAACAGUUCCAUUUGCCUCCCGUAUACUAAACCAAGAAUUCUUUCUCAAAUCUAAUUGCACUUAUAAACUAUCACUCAAAAACAUUAAAUUCCAAUAUAACAGGCACAAAAAUCACCUCAUC